rnacentral:misc_RNA from 1 species
GUUUUAUAGCUCCGCAAGUAUAAAAUUAACUGUGAGAACAUCAAUUAGGAUAUUUCAAAUUGAACUACUAUCAAGCCUACAAAUAACAGUAGGAAACUAUGAUCAUUUUGUUAGAUAAGCAUAUUCAAUGCCAAACCUAAUUCCUAUCACUAGUAACAGCAACAUAAAAUCACAAAAGCAUGAGUGUUGUAUGUACAUACAUUCACAGACACACUUUCACAAGUUAUCAUUAAAUUUUGGCACUGUCACCAAAAUUCAAUUUGUACUAGCAAAUGUCACUAUUGCCAAAUUUUCAUAGUGAUUAUAGCUAAUAUUCUAUGUAUUGAUUGAGAAAUAUCCUAUUUUAAUUACAGAAUUAUAUUAGAACAAUUUUACUUGGUUA